rnacentral:rRNA from 1 species
GACGGAGGGCGCGGGCGUUAUUCGUUUUGAUUGGGUGUAAAGGGUACGUAGGCGGUCUCUGGUUUUUUGGCUAAAAUGGCGGAGUAUUCCUACGCAAAUGCCUAUUAAGAAGGGGACUUGUGUUAUUGAGAGGUUGGAGCAAAUUCUCAUGUAAAAGUAGAAUUUUACGAUAUGAGAAUGAACGCCAACAGGCGAAGGCAUCUUUCUGGCUUUAACAGACGCUAAGGUACGGAAGCUUAGGGAGCAAACGGG